rnacentral:rRNA from 1 species
UACGUAGGCAGCAAGCGUUGUUCGGAGUUACUGGGCGUAAAGGGUGUGUAGGCGGUUAUUUAAGUUUGGUGUGAAAUCUCCCGGCUCAACCGGGAGGGUGCGCCGAAUACUGAAUGACUUGGAGUGCGGGAGAGGAAAGUGGAAUUCCUGGUGUAGCGGUGAAAUGCGUAGAGAUGUGGAGGAACACCAAUGGCGAAGGCAGCCUUCUGGGCCAACACUGACGCUCAUGCACGAAAGCGUGGGGAGCAAACAGG